AGCUUUACACAGUGGUAGUAUCAUAGCCAAUGAGGUUUAUCUGAGGCAUGAUUAUUGCUAAUUGAAAACUUUUCCCAAUGCCCCGCCAUGAUGACUUGAAAUAUAGUUGGCAUUGGCAAUUUUUGACAGUCUAUGGAGACUGAAUAUAUAGA
rnacentral:snRNA from 1 species